GAGAGGGGUGGAUAAGGUGGCCUGGGGCGAGAGGCCGAGUUCCCAGAAUCCGCACCAAAGAUGAGACAAGGGCAGUCACAAUUUCUUGAGACUUGCAGCAUCUUAGGAGACCCAGUUCCAGCCCUCACUUUCUCCUCUGCUCGGAUCGACAUCUGAGAAGGGAGACCACAACUGCAUACCAUUUUAUAGAUCCGCCUGAUUAAAACCAGCUCUCCCUAUA